rnacentral:rRNA from 1 species
UACGGGGGGGGCAAGCGUUGUCCGGAAUCAUUGGGCGUAAAGCGCGCGUAGGCGGUCAGGUAAGUCCGGUGUGAAAGUCAAAGGCUCAACCUUUGAAUGCCGCUGGAUACUGCUUGACUUGAGUCCGGAAGGGGCGAGUGGAAUUCCUGGUGUAGCGGUGAAAUGCGCAGAUAUCAGGAGGAACACCAAUGGCGAAGGCAGCUCGCUGGAACGGUACUGACGCUGAGGCGCGAAGGCGUGGGGAGCAAACAGG